GAUGAACGCUGGCGGCGUGCCUAAUACAUGCAAGUCGAGCGAACGGACGAGAAGCUUGCUUUUCUGAUGUUAGCGGCGGACGGGUGAGUAACACGUGGAUACCCUACCUAUCAGACUGGGAUCACCUCGGGACACCGGAGCUAAUACCGGAUAAUAUUUUGAACCGCAUGGUUCAAUAGUGAAAGACGGUCUUGCUGUCACUUAUAGAUGGAUCCGCGCUGCAUUGGCUGGUUGGUAAGGUAACGGCUUACCAAGGCAACGAUGCAUAGCCGACCUGAGAGGGGGAUCGGCCACACUGGAACGGAGACGCGGUCCAGACUCCUACGGGACGCAGCAGUAGGGAAUCUGCCGCAAUGGGCGAGAGCCUGACGGAGCAACGCCGCGUGAGUGAUGAAGGUCUUCGGAUCGUAAAACUCUGUUAUGAGGGAAGAACAUAUGUGUAAGUAGCUGUGCACAGCUUGACGGUACCUAGUCAGAAAGCCACGGCUAACUACGUG
rnacentral:rRNA from 1 species